AUUCAUGAUCGCAUUCACUGGUAUUUUAUCAUUUUUCACAUUUGAAGCUGGUGGGAAACAAUCCAAACUUCUGUUUGCUGAAGGAACUAAACAACUCAUCAAAAAAAUGUCAUCGACUGGAUUUAAAACAUUUCUUAAAGGAGGCGGCAUGGUUGUGGGAGGAGCUGUUGGAAUGGCUUUUUCACUUCCAGAGGCGAUU